rnacentral:misc_RNA from 1 species
UACAGAAUGUCAUAUGAUGCUCACAACUGUACGCAACAAUCCAGUUCUACUGAUCAUGCCAUUUCACACUACAAAGCUAAAUGCAGCUCCCUUUACAACAACAAACUGUUCUAGAGAAUGAAUCUUCACAAGAAUGCCAUAACUAAAAUUGACAUUUCCACAACAAGUCAAUCCAAUUAUUAGAGUGGAAAAGAAGGGGAAAAAAUUCAUAUACCUAAAAUGUUUGGUGAAAUUAUAUCCUAG